rnacentral:rRNA from 1 species
AUUGAACGCUGGCGGCAGGCCUAACACAUGCAAGUCGAGCGGAUGAAGGGAGCUUGCUCCUGGCUUCAGCGGCGGACGGGUGAGUAAUGCCUAGGAAUCUGCCUGGUAGUGGGGGAUAACGUCCGGAAACGGGCGCUAAUACCGCAUACGUCCAGAGGGAGAAAGUGGGGGAUCUUCGGACCUCACGCUAUCAGAUGAGCCUAGGUCGGAUUAGCUAGUUGGUGGGGUAAAGGCCUACCAAGGCGACGAUCCGUAACUGGUCUGAGAGGAUGAUCAGUCACACUGGAACUGAGACACGGUCCAGACUCCUACGGGAGGCAGCAGUGGGGAAUAUUGGACAAUGGGCGAAAGCCUGAUCCAGCCAUGCCGCGUGUGUGAAGAAGGUCUUCGGAUUGUAAAGCACUGUAAGUUGGGAGGAAGGGCAGUAAGUUAAUACCUUGCUGUUUUGACGUUACCAACAGAAUAAGCACCGGCUAACUUCGUG